ensembl:rRNA 5S_rRNA 5S ribosomal RNA
GUCUACAGCCACACCACCCUGAAUGCACCUGAUCUCAUCUGAUCUCGGAAGCUAAGCAGGGUUGGGCCUGGUUAGUACUUGGAUGGAAGAAGUCCAGGAGUGGUACAGA